AAAUGUUUUGCAUGUUUUAAUUGAGAAAUAUCAUUGUUUUAAAUAAAUAAAUUUUCAUAGCUUUUUUUUAAACAAAGUGAACAUUCACAAUGAUAAAAAGAUAUCGGGGAUGUCUUCAGCGCUCUCCCAGAGAUGGUAUGAUUCCCAACAGGGUAAGACAUUUGUUCAUAUUCCUAGAAUGCUUGUUUCCUCUUCCUCCGGAGCCUUUU
rnacentral:lncRNA from 1 species